CCCAAAUCAUCCCACCCUCUCCCUCUCCCUCUGAGUCCAAAAGUCCGUUAUACACAUCUGUGUCUUUUUUGCUGUCUUGCAUACAGAGUCGUCAUUGCCAUCUUUCUAAAUUCCAUAUAUAUGUGUUAGUAUACUGUAUUGGUGUUUUUCUUUCUGGCUUGCUUCACUCUGUAUAAUCGGCUCCAGUUUCAUCCAUCUCAUCAGAACUGAUUCAGAUGAAUUCUUUUUAACGGCUGAGUAAUACUCCAUUGUGUAUAUGUACCACAGCUUUCUUAUCCAUUCAUCUGCUGAUGGACAUCUAGGUUGUUUCCAUGUCCUGGCUAUUAUAAACAGUGCUGCGAUGAACAUUGGGGUACAUGUGUCUCUUUCAAUUCUGGUUUCCUCGGUGUGUAUGCCCAGAAGUGGGAUUGCUGGGUCAUAACGUAGUUCUAUUUGCAAUUUUUUAAGGAAUCUCCACACUGUUCUCCAUAGUGGCUGUACUAGUUUGCAUUCCCACCAACAGUGUAGGAGGGUUCCCUUUUCUC
ensembl:lncRNA